rnacentral:rRNA from 1 species
UACGAGGGGGGCAAAUGUUGUUCGGAAUCACUGGGCGUAAAGGGCGCGUAGGCGGCGUGUCAAGUCAGGCGUGAAAGCCCCGGGCUCAACCUGGGAACCGCGCUUGAGACUGGCAUGCUCGAGUUCGGGAGAGGAUGGUGGAAUUCCCAGUGUAGAGGUGAAAUUCGUAGAUAUUGGGAAGAACACCGAUGGCGAAGGCAGCCAUCUGGACCGACACUGACGCUGAGGCGCGAAAGCGUGGGGAGCAAACAGG